rnacentral:lncRNA from 1 species
AGAGGAGGAAGCAGGGCAGCCAAUUCUGAUUCCGGCCUCCUAUUAAUUUCAGGAAAGGAUAAAUCAGGGCGAUUCUUUCUUUUCAGAGUGACUGGCUCCCCCUCUGCCAACACGGUUGCUAAGCAAAGCCUGGGCCUCGCUGUGUGUGUGGGCAUGCACCUCCCGGCCUGCAAGUUCAUCAAGAGAGGGCAACGAGAAAGACUGGCAGGAAAACAGGCUCUGAGCAAGAUAGCUAGCUCCAAGGGGCUAAGACCCAAAGACCUGAACACACUGCAACAGAGCAAAGCACGCACUAGUGUUGGAUGAAGUCAGCCCGAGAGGUGAUGCUGGUGAAACUGCACCGGGACGGCUCUCUGAGGACCACUGACAUAAGGCACGGCCCUCCCUGACCCCAGACCAACCCAGGUGGGUGAGAAGUCGGAACUUCAUCAAGCACCUGUACCACUCUGUGGGCCAGAAUUUGAGAAGCACUGAAAUAAACAAUUUUGAUGAAUACAAUCAAUGUUUAAAAGGCCUGUGUUAUAGAGCCAUCCUAACUCAUGUAAUAAACGGAAGAUACAGUGGAGAGUCUCCUGUGACAACAGUACUGUCUAGAAAUGGACAAAGGCUCAGAUGAAUAAAUGUGGGUCAUUCCGCUUUUCUCAUUAGAGUGAGAAUGGUAACACAUAUGCAUACACAUAUCCCAAAACAAACACCACAAGCCCUACAGCACUGAAAACGUAGUUCAACCUUAUUACCUGAUCAGGAAAAAUGUAUCAACUCCAAGAUAGAAGGGACCACUCCAAGAGUAAACACACAGUGGGUUUCUAAGCACUCUGCUGUUCCAUUCAAGCACAUUAUCUGUAACAAACAUUAAAAAGCAGUGUCUUUUUGUUUCAUAGAAGAAAAUCAUGUGAUUUCUCUUUUCAGAAAAAGCAAGAGGAACACCUUCGACUUUCAGUUGUGCUGGGCAGGCUUUAAGAAUCAC